rnacentral:rRNA from 1 species
UACAGAGGGGGCAAGCGUUGUUCGGAAUUACUGGGCGUAAAGGGCGCGUAGGCGGAUAGUUUAGUCAGAGGUAAAAGCCCAGGGCUCAACCUUGGAACUGCCUUUGAUACUGGCUACCUUGAGUUCGGGAGAGGUGAGUGGAAUGCCGAGUGUAGAGGUGAAAUUCGUAGAUAUUCGGCGGAACACCAGUGGCGAAGGCGACUCACUGGCCCGAUACUGACGCUGAGGCGCGAAAGCGUGGGGAGCAAACAGG